rnacentral:ncRNA from 1 species
CACCGCCCGUCGCUGCAACCGAUCAGAGGGUCCUGUGAACUCAUCGGACGGACAAGCCUUACUUUGUGGGGAUGGUCGGGAAGUUGCGUAAAUAGAGCCCUCUAAAGGAUGCAAAAGUCGUAACACGGUUUCCGUAGGUGAACCUGCGGAAG